CGGGACGGGUGAGUAAUGUCGGGGAAACUGCCGAUGGAGGGGGAUAACUACUGGAAACGGUAGCUAAUACCGCAUAACGUCGCAAGACCAAAGAGGGGGACCUUAGGGCCUCUUGCCAUCGGAUGUGCCCAGAUGGGAUUAGCUAGUAGGUGGGGUAAUGGCUCACCUAGGCGACGAUCCCUAGCUGGUCUGAGAGGAUGACCAGCCACACUGGAACUGAGACACGGUCCAG
rnacentral:rRNA from 1 species